AGGGGAGUCUGGUUGACAGCGAGCCCGCAGGCGCAGAGUGGAGUCUUGGUGUCCUUUCCCUUUCGGGAGCACCCCCUGGGGCACCCCUCCUGGGACCACACGGCAGACAAAGGCUGCCAAAGCCCUGAGGGAACCUCUGCACAGAAAGGUUAACUCAGCUCACAAGGGAUGGAGCAGGGACCCAAACCCAGCCAGGCAGACUGAAGUGCUGACUGCUAACCACCCGACUGGACUUGGAGGAAAUGCCCACCAAGGAGGUGCCAUGACUCCUGGGCCUUUCCAGGUCUCAACAAGCUCGCCCAAGAUGCUCUUUAAACAGACUCAAAAGUUCAGGUCUAACAGCUGCAAAGCACCUUAUCGGGUUGAAAACUGCGCUGAACUCCUCACAGGUGGGCUGCGUCUGACACCUGCAGCCCGCGAGGGAUACAAGCCCUCUGCCUUCUGUGCCGCUGUCUCUUCACUGGACUCCACACUCCAGAGCUGGACCUUGUGUUUCCAGCGCUUGGCGAGGGGCCUGGCAUAUAUAGGUGCUUGAUGAAACGUUCCGAGAGAUAAAAUUAAGUUUUGGCUCAUGGCUGAGAAGAAAGGAUAAUUAAGAUUUAAAACAAUGGACUGCUUUUAAAUAGCAACCUUGGAUUCACAGCAAAAUUGAGAGGAAGGUACAGAUUCCCAGAUAUCCCCUGUCCGACCAAGGCGUCACCUCCCCCAUCGUCAACAUCCCCACCAGAAGACACAUUUGCUGCGACUGAUGAACCGACAUGGAUGCACCAUCACCACCCAGGGUCCACAGCUUCUGUCAGGGCUCACUCCUGGUGCUGUGCCUUCCAUGGGUUGGGACAAGCGUAUAACUGUGUGUAUCCAUCAUUGUAGCAUCAUAUAGAGUAGUUUCACUGCCCGAAACAUCCUCUGGGCUCCACCUGUUCAUCCCCCUGCCUUCUGCCCCCAAGCCUCGGCAGCCACUGACCUUUUUACUGUGUCCAUAUUUGCCUUUCGAGAACGUCACAGAGUUGGGAUCACAGAGAAUAUAGUCUUUUCAGAUUGGCUUCUUUCUCUUGUGUGUGCUGUUACUUCACUCGUGUCCAACUCUGAGCGACCCCAUGGACUGUAGCCCGCCAGGCUCCUCUGUCCAUGGGAUUCUCCAGGCAAGAACACUGGAGUGGGUUGCCAUGCCCUCCUCCAGAGGAUCUUCCUAACCCAGGGAUCAAGCCUGAGUUUCAUGUCUCUUGCAUUGGCGGGCAGGUUCUUUACCAUUAUUGCCACCUGGGAAGCCCAGCUCUGCUCUUAACAAUUAUCUCAACAAACCCUUAAGCCUACAACUGAUAAGGGCAGGGCCUCAGCUGGCUGGGAGAUGGAAAGGCCACGUGUAGCUUUUCAGAGCUCGUGCUGCCGCCCAU
ensembl:lncRNA